rnacentral:rRNA from 1 species
GGGUUAGUAGGUUGGUCAUGCCUCUGGUAUGUACUGGUCUCACUGAUUCCUCCUUCCUGAUGAGCCGUAAUGCCAUUAAUUUGGUGUUGCGGGGAAUUUGGACUGUUACUUUGAGAAAAUUAGAGUGUUCGAAGCAGGCCUAUGCCUGAAUACGUUAGCAUGGAAUAAUGAAAUAGGACGUGCGGUUCUAUUUUGUUGGUUUCUAGAGUCGCCGUA